UUGCCUUAAUGUACAAAGUCAUUUCAAAUCCAUUUAGCACAAAAAAGAAUCUUAUAAAAUAAAUCCAGCAAACAACUCAAAACAAAAUAUUGAUAAGUGAGUUUAUAAUAUAGAGCAAGAACUAUAGAAAUAAGCAGUCCCCAAAAUACAGUAGCUUAAAAAACAUAGACCUUUAUUUUUAUUCCAUGUAACAGUCCUGAGUGAGCAGUCCAAGCCAGCUGAGUGGUUUUACUUCUAUCAUUCAGGUACCUCAUUUCCUUUCAUCUUGUAGUUCUUCCAACACGUCAUCAAGGAUCAUCUAUGUUCCAGUUCUCAGACAGGAGAAAGAACAUGAGAAAGCAGGUAUUCAAUGUUUUAAGGUCUCUUGUGCAUGUGAAUUUCCAUGACAUUCUAUUCAACUGGAGUAACUAAGAAGAAAGAACAAUGUCCCUCUAUACAAGGAGAGUGAGAAGGAAGGAGUAAGUAAGAGAAGGAAAAGAUAUCCUGGAGAAUUUUCCAUGAUCAGCUCUUUAACACUGGCUGUGACUAUGUUGUCCAAAUUAAUGACCAAAAACAAAUAAAUAAAAAAC